GCUGGCGGCAGGCCUAACACAUGCAAGUCGAGCGGCCGUAGCAAUACGGCAGCGGCAGACGGGAGAGUAACACGUGGGAACGCGCCCUUCGGUUCGGAAUAACUCAGGGAAACUUGGGCUAAUACCGGAUACGCCCUUACGGGGAAAGAUUUAUUGCCGAAGGAACGGCCCGCGUCCGAUUAGCUUGUUGGUGAGGUAACGGCUCACCAAGGCGACGAUCGGUAGCUGGUCUGAGAGGAUGACCAGCCUCACUGGGACUGAGACACGGCCCAGACUCCUACGGGAGGCAGCAGUGGGGAAUAUUGGACAAUGGGCGCAAGCCUGAUCCAGCCAUGCCGCGUGGGUGAUGAAGGCCCUAGGGUUGUAAAGCCCUUUCAGCGGGGAAGAUAAUGACGGUACCCGCAGAAGAAGCCCCGGCUAACUUCGUGCCAGCAGCCGCGGUAAUACGAAGGGGGCUAGCGUUGCUCGGAAUUACUGGGCGUAAAGCGCACGUAGGCGGAUUGUUAAGUCGGGGGUGAAAUCCUGGAGCUCAACUCCAGAACUGCCUUCGAUACUGGCGAUCUCGAGUUC
rnacentral:rRNA from 1 species